UGGUGUUGAAGAAGUGUGAGCCCAUGACCACGAUCGAGAUUUCAACAAUCGCAUAGAACGCGACACCACGAAGCACUUGAACAAGAACAACUCGCUCGGACUCAAAUGCAGCGAGGCCAAAAGCGCAGAGAAGACUCGGUUCUCGCCGGAAUUGAAGAAUCUCUUCACUCUGGAAUCUCCGUCGUUCACUCUGGUUUUGGCGCGGAGGUAUUCGGCGGCGAGGCGGGAGUGGAGAGACUUGAUUCUAUCCUGAUUCUGGUCCAGCACAAUUGCGUCCAGCCCUUUACCCAAGAAUCCAGUAAUUCUUCUGCUCAUCUCAAUUUUUUUUUUGGGGGUUUUUGAUUAUUUCAAUCUGUUUCUUAAAACCCUAGAUUGGAUUGGUUCAAUUUGAGUAAAGUUAAUGGCUUUUUGUGAAUUCCUUGUCUCAAUUUUUUUGGGGGUUUUUGAUUCUUUGAAUCUGGUUUGUAAAACUCUAGAUUGAAUUGGUUUAAUUUGAGUAAAGUUAGUUGCUUUUUGUGGAUUUGUGGUGAUGCAGAGGCUGGGCGUAAAGUUCAGUACAUUGCGGUGUAUGAUAUAACAUACUCCAUCGACUUAGGUUUGCAAAAUUUCUGGCGGUUGUGGCCCAGGAGCUUGAUUUAGUUCAUUUUUUUGUGUAUUUUUUGUUUGGUGAAUUUUGGGGGUCGGAUUGGUGUUUUAUCUACAUUUGCUUUGUUUUGGUAGUGCAAACAAUUUCUUGCUGGUCUACUUGAGCACGGCAGACUUACACAGCAACAAUUAAUGGACAGAGCCAAUCAGAAAUCCAAAUCAAAUAGCAGUCAAGUUCAGAAUGCUGCUCAAGAUAACUUUGUUAGACUUGUGACUGCUCGUUUUGUUGAACGUUGCCCGGCCCCUGAACCACUUCUUGAAGAAGCACCUGAACAAGAAGGUCCAAAGAAGCCACGCUCUAAAUCUGCUAAGGAAUUAUGACCACAAUAUUAUUGGCACUUCUUCAUAUAAACAGAGGGCAUGCCAAUAUUAUUACUGAAAUGGCGGAGGUAUUCGGCGGUGGUGACGAGGCGUUGCGAUUGAGAAUUGGAGCUGAGCACGCCAUUAUUUACAUCGAUAGAGCCUCUGUAGGGAUUUGAAGGAGAUAGGCCUUGACCUUGGCUGCGAUUUUUCAUCUCCGCCUGUGCAGGUAACUGUAAUAUCUUUAUCGAUUUGAAAUCGAUUUGUGUAGUUGUGCUAUUGUGAAGUUUGUGUUUGUUUUUUUCUUAUAUUUUUUUUACACAAGUUUGUAUUUGUUUUAUGCAUAGACGAUUUCCAAUUAACAUUCUCAACAUUGGAAACCGCUUGCAAGAACUUCUUUAUGGUUGUUAACUAUUGGAGCUUGAAUGAUAAUAAUCCUUGUUCUUCACUGUGCUUAAUAUGUUGUACACACUACAAAACUAAAAUUUUAUGUUAUGUCUCUCUAUUGAUGUAGUUGUAUGAGCUCUUGGGCUGUCUGGGUUAUAACUCAUUCCGUUCAAGUGUUUGUCUUGUGUUUUCAUGUUAUGCAGAAUAUCUGUCUUGUACAAGUGCAUUUGAAGAGAGACAAAGAGUUGGUUAUUCAAAUCACUAACAGUUUCAAAUAUAGACAUGGUGUUUUGAUUGAAUUUUGAUUACAUGCCAAAAGUAUUAUGUUGGCCACACCUAAGAUUGAAGCUGAAUGACGAAUACUUUGACAGAAAUGAUUUGAAAAUCAUAUUUUCAUUGAUUCAGACUAGAACCAGAAGAUCACAGUUCACUAGCCAUCACCACCUAAAUUCAGUGCAACAAAGUCCAGUUUUAUUAUAUAUCUUAUUCUCUGAUAAGUUGAAUUCUUGUUUUUUCUUUUUGAAAAUUGAAUUAUUGAUCUUGAUACUUGUUGGUGCAUAACAACAGGUCAGUCCAGACCUCUAUGGUGACAGCAACACGAUGUCAAUAUACUUGUCUGGAAGGUAAAAUCAUAUUAGUUGCUACUUCCAGUUAGGUUUUUAUUUUUAGGACUGCAACUUGGUGAGGCACAAGAAGUUGUUAUGGGUUAUUUAGUACUAUGGACUGAACCCUUGCUUUUAGGACAACUUGGUGAGGCACAAGGAAGUUAUUAUGGGUUUAGUUCAGUUCAUAUAGGGCUGUGAGUCUUGUGACAAUGAGUUACAAUCUUGUAGAGUAGGUGAAAGAAAUGAAUGUAAAGUAGUGUAGGAAAUGGAUUCUCCUUUACUUGUAAGCAAAUUUUAUAUGAUGUACAAUGAUUAUAUAAAUGAAGUUUAUUUUACUAACAAAAAUAUAGAAUCAAGAAAUAAUAAAUAAAUUGUGAAUUUUUUAUUAUUAAUUUUUUUUUAAUUUUUUCAAACAUCAUUUACGGCGUGCAUGAUAUGUGUGCAGUAAAUGUAACUCUCAUUUACGGCAUACAUUUAACUCAUUUACGACGCAUAUUAUAACUCAUUUACGGCGUGCAUAGUAAGUGUGCCGUAAAUGCACCUCUCUUUUACGGCCCACUUUUAGCUCAUUUACGACGCACGCUGAGACUCAUUUACAGCGCACAUAAUGUGUGCCGUAAAUGAUAGUUGUCUUUUACGGCAUGUCCAUUUACGGCCUGCAUUUGUGGGCCGUAAAAUGUCAUUUAUGGCGCACAUUGUGGGCCGUAAAAGACCUUUUUUCUGGUAGUGUGUUACCCCUAAACCACAGGGUACUAAACUGAAAUUAAUCCAAAAAACAAACUAUAGGUAAAAUGCAAAGAAAUAUAAAGGGCACAAUCCAAGAGCAAGGGGAAGAAGUUAGGGUAACAUUUUGAUUGCAGGCAACCAAACAAGCAAAUCAUAAGAAAUUUAAUACCUAACAUCUACAAAAUACUACAGUCCCAUGGAGACACUAACCACAAUUUAGCCCUUGAUGUUCUCUCUUUCUUUGUAGUGUAUGUUUGUACAUCUUGUUCUCUCCCAUUUGUGAAAGACAAAAUAGAAAAUUUUGGUUGCUACAAAGUUUACUUGACCAAGAACCAAUAGGAUAUCCCAUCAACAUCAAAUCAUUCUUUCAACUUGAUAUCCUACUACCCAGGCACACAUAUAUGCUUUUGAGCACUGACAAGUGAAAUGUA